GCGCUCGUAGCUCAGCUGGAUAGAGUACCUGGCUACGAACCAGGCGGUCNGAGGNUCGAAUCCUCNCGAGCGCGCCA
rnacentral:tRNA from 2 species